rnacentral:rRNA from 1 species
CCUACGGGGGGCUGCAGUGGGGAAUAUUGGACAAUGGGGGGAACCCUGAUCCAGCCAUGCCGCGUGUGUGAAGAAGGCCCUCGGGUUGUAAAGCACUUUCAGUGAGGAAGAACGCCUGGUGGUUAAUACCCAUCAGGAAAGACAUCACUCACAGAAGAAGCACCGGCUAACUCCGUGCCAGCAGCCGCGGUAAUACGGAGGGUGCGAGCGUUAAUCGGAAUUACUGGGCGUAAAGCGCGCGUAGGUGGCUUGAUAAGCCGGUUGUGAAAGCCCCGGGCUCAACCUGGGAACGGCAUCCGGAACUGUCAAGCUAGAGUGCAGGAGAGGAAGGUAGAAUUCCCGGUGUGGCGGUGAAAUGCGUAGAGAUCGGGAGGAAUACCAGUGGCGAAGGCGGCCUUCUGGACUGACACUGACACUGAGGUGCGAAAGCGUGGGUAGCAAACAGGAUUAGAUACCCCAGUAGUC